rnacentral:rRNA from 1 species
AAGGUUGACCUCGGAUCAGGUAGGGAUACCCGCUGAACUUAAGCAUAUCAAUAAGCCGGAGGAAAAU